CUGAGGUGGAAGUGUGGCGACACAUGGAGCUGACAGAUACUAAUCGAUCGAGGACUUAACCAAUUU
rnacentral:rRNA from 1 species